rnacentral:rRNA from 1 species
GACGAACGCUGGCGGCGUGCUUAACACAUGCAAGUCGAACGGAAAGGCCCUGCUUUUGUGGGGUGCUCGAGUGGCGAACGGGUGAGUAACACGUGAGUAACCUGCCCUUGACUUUGGGAUAACUUCAGGAAACUUGGGCUAAUACCGGAUAGGAGCUCCUGCUGCAUGGUGGGGGUUGGAAAGUUUCGGCGGUUGGGGAUGGACUCGCGGCUUAUCAGCUUGUUGGUGGGGUAGUGGCUUACCAAGGCUUUGACGGGUAGCCGGCCUGAGAGGGUGACCGGCCACAUUGGGAAUGAGAUACGGCCCAGACUCCUACGGGAGGCAGCAGUGGGGAAUAUUGCACAAUGGGAGGAAGCCUGAUGCAGCAACGCAGCGUGCGGGAUGAAGGCAUUCGGGUUGUAAACCGAUUUCGCCUGUGACGAAGCGUGAGUGACGGUAAUGGGUAAAGAAGCACCGGCUAACUACGUG